UUGUGUAUAUAUAUUUCUUGCAAUUUCCCCACAGUUAUGCUCGAAAUAUGGCAAGGUAGUGAACGUGACUGUUGUCAAAGACAAGCAGACACGAAUGAGUAAGGGAGUUGCAUUUGUGCCGUUUCUAGAUAGAGAGUCUGCUCAUAAUUGUGCCCGAUCGCUAAACAACAAACAGUUGUUUGGGAGAGCGGUGAAGGCCAGUA